GUGAAUCAUCGAAUUUUUGAACGCAAAUUGCACUCUCUUCGGAGAGUAUGCCUGUUUGAGGGUCAGUAUAUAUAAAAAUCGGUGUGUUGCUGCUUUGUGACGCUCCGGAGUUUGGGUCAUCUUAUUAUCCUUUAGGUUUUAAUAGGCGUAAAAUUGACUUUUUUUGCUCCUUUUAGCGGUACUUAAAUCCUUUUUUUUAUUCGUUUGUCUUAUUGCUCAAUAUUCUAUUAGAUGAUACUAUAUCGUGUGGUU
rnacentral:misc_RNA from 1 species